AUACGUAGGGAGCAAGCGUUGUCCGGAUUUACUGGGUGUAAAGGGUGCGUAGGCGGCUCUGCAAGUCAGGUGUGAAAACUAUGGGCUUAACCCAUAGAUUGCACUUGAAACUGUGGGGCUUGAGUGAAGUAGAGGCAGGCGGAAUUCCCGGUGUAGCGGUGAAAUGCGUAGAGAUCGGGAGGAACACCAGUGGCGAAGGCGGCCUGCUGGGCUUUAACUGACGCUGAGGCACGAAAGCGUGGGUAGCAAACAGGAUUAGAUACCCUGGUAGUCCAUGCUGUAAACGAUGAUUACUAGGUGUGGGGGGUCUGACCCCCUCCGUGCCGGAGUUAACACAAUAAGUACCCCGCCUGGGGAGUACGGCCGCAAGGUUGAA
rnacentral:rRNA from 1 species